UCUAGCAUGUGCGCGAGUCAUUGGGAACAGACUAAACCCAAAGGCGCAAUGAAAGUGAAGGUCCGCCUCGCGCGGACCGAGGGAGGAUGGGUCCGUCNCKCGGACGGUCGCCCCGCACUCCCGGGGCGUCUCGUUCUCAUCGCGAGAAGAGGCGCACCCAGAGCGUACACGCUGGGACCCGAAAGAUGGUGAACUAUGCCUGGUCAGGACGAAGUCAGGGGAAACCCUGAUGGAGGUCCGUAGCGAUUCUGACGUGCAAAUCGAUCGUCGGAACUGGGUAUAGG
rnacentral:rRNA from 1 species